rnacentral:lncRNA from 1 species
CAGGGUGCUGGGCAGUCCAUGGUGGCUGUGUGGAUCAAUCAUGCAGUCCACGCACAGUCUAUGGGUAUUUUUGUGCGAUCUGACGGCUCUGGAGCGAGCCAUUCAUAAUAGGACGACUGAGGAUGACUCCAAACAUGAUCAGAUGUGAUCAGAGGCUGUAGUGCAUGAUCGGAUGGCUUUGGUGUGAGCCAAUAAUGAUUGAAUGGACACGGAUUAUUGUAGAAUUGAUUAGGACUC